rnacentral:rRNA from 1 species
GAUGAACGCUGGCGGCGUGCCUAAUACAUGCAAGUCGAGCGAACAGACGAGGAGCUUGCUCCUCUGACGUUAGCGGCGGACGGGUGAGUAACACGUGGAUAACCUACCUAUAAGACUGGGAUAACUUCGGGAAACCGGAGCUAAUACCGGAUAAUAUAUUGAACCGCAUGGUUCAAUAGUGAAAGACGGUUUUGCUGUCACUUAUAGAUGGAUCCGCGCCGCAUUAGCUAGUUGGUAAGGUAACGGCUUACCAAGGCAACGAUGCGUAGCCGACCUGAGAGGGUGAUCGGCCACACUGGAACUGAGACACGGUCCAGACUCCUACGGGAGGCAGCAGUAGGGAAUCUUCCGCAAUGGGCGAAGGCCUGACGGAGCAACGCCGCGUGAGUGACGAAGGUCUUCGGAUCGUAAAACUCUGUUAUUAGGGAAGAACAAAUGUGUAAGUAACUAUGCACGUCUUGACGGUACCUAAUCAGAAAGCCACGGCUAACUACGUG